rnacentral:rRNA from 1 species
GACGAACGCUGGCGGCGCGCCUAACACAUGCAAGUCGAACGAGAGAUGAAGAGCUUGCUCUUCAAAUCGAGUGGCGAACGGGUGAGUAACGCGUGAGGAACCUGCCUCAAAGAGGGGGACAACAGUUGGAAACGACUGCUAAUACCGCAUAAGCCCACGGCUCGGCAUCGAGCAGAGGGAAAAGGAGCAAUCCGCUUUGAGAUGGCCUCGCGUCCGAUUAGCUAGUUGGUGAGGUAACGGCCCACCAAGGCGACGAUCGGUAGCCGGACUGAGAGGUUGAACGGCCACAUUGGGACUGAGACACGGCCCAGACUCCUACGGGAGGCAGCAGUGGGGAAUAUUGCACAAUGGGGGGGAACCCUGAUGCAGCGACGCCGCGUGGAGGAAGAAGGUCUUCGGGAUUGUAAACUCCUGUUGUUGAGGAAGAUAAUGACGGUACUCAACAAGGAAGUGACGGCUAACUACGUG